rnacentral:rRNA from 1 species
AGAGUUUGAUCAUGGCUCAGAACGAACGCUGGCGGCAGGCUUAACACAUGCAAGUCGAACGAACGUAGCAAUACGUUAGUGGCGCACGGGUGAGUAACGCGUGGAUAUCUGCCUUUUGGUUCGGGAUAACCUUGGGAAACUAGGGCUAAUACCGAAUGGUUCCUACGGGAUAAAGAUUUAUCGCCAAAAGAUGAGUCCGCGUCCGAUUAGCUAGUUGGUGGGGUAAUGGCCCACCAAGGCGACGAUCGGUAGCUGGUCUGAGAGGACGAUCAGCCACACUGGGACUGAGACACGGCCCAGACUCCUACGGGAGGCAGCAGUGGGGAAUAUUGGACAAUGGGGGCAACCCUGAUCCAGCCAUGCCGCGUGAGUGAUGAAGGCCUUCGGGUUGUAAAGCUCUUUUGGCGGGGACGAUGAUGACGGUACCCGCAGAAUAAGCCCCGGCUAACUUCGUGCCAGCAGCCGCGGUAAUA